rnacentral:rRNA from 1 species
GAACGCUGGCGGCGUGCCUAAUACAUGCAAGUAGAACGCUGAAGGAAGGAGCUUGCUCUUUCCGGAUGAGUUGCGAACGGGUGAGUAACGCGUAGGUAACCUGCCUGGUAGCGGGGGAUAACUAUUGGAAACGAUAGCUAAUACCGCAUAACAGUAGAUAUCGCAUGAUAGCUGCUUGAAAGGUGCAAUUGCACCACUACCAGAUGGACCUGCGUUGUAUUAGCUAGUUGGUGAGGUAACGGCUCACCAAGGCAACGAUACAUAGCCGACCUGAGAGGGUGAUCGGCCACACUGGGACUGAGACACGGCCCAGACUCCUACGGGAGGCAGCAGUAGGGAAUCUUCGGCAAUGGACGGAAGUCUGACCGAGCAACGCCGCGUGAGUGAAGAAGGUUUUCGGAUCGUAAAGCUCUGUUGUAAGAGAAGAACGAGUGUGAGAGUGGAAAGUUCACACUGUGACGGUAUCUUACCAGAAAGGGACGGCUAACUACGUGCCAGCAGCCGCGGUAAUACGUAGGUCCCGAGCGUUGUCCGGAUUUAUUGGGCGUAAAGCGAG